ACACUGAUGACAAAGGGGAGACUGAGGACUCUGACUUGUACACCAUUAUAGGGGCCGCCUCGGGGGUCCUCCUGAUCCUUAUACUCUCCAUACUGAUGCUCACCUGGUUCAGGAGACGCAAGUUUGACGCAUCGGACAAUGCCUCUACUAAACAGAUUUUUCAGGACAAUGUUGCUUACCAAUCCAGUGGAGAAAGCACGAUUAAGCUGAAAUCCUACUUGGAGGAUCUUCAGAGGUGUGUACUUCCAAGUGACGAAUUCCCCAGACAACGUCUUCAGCUGGGCAUUGAUUUAGGUCAAGGUCGUUUCGGAAAAGUCAUGAUGGCGCGUGCUCUGAAUAUCAACGGAAAUUCUGAUUGGGAAAUGGUUGCCGUAAAAACGACAUGUGAUGACGCGAUGGAGAUAGAAAAGGAAGACUUGUAUCAUGAGUUAGAAAUAAUGAGAAAGAUUCCACACCACCCAAACGUUGUAGAUUACUUGGGAUGUUGUACUCAGCAAGGUAGGUAUCAUAUCUGGCAUCAUAUUCUUUUGAAGCAUUUAAACAAUGAUUUUUGCAGAAAUUACAAUUGGUUCAGUUGAUACUUUUCAAUGGAUACUUUACUUUUGAAUUGAAGAUCCCUUUUACAUUAUCAUGGAGUACGUUGCUGGUGGAAACAUGCAGCAAUACCUGCGGAAGUUUAGACCUUCCCAGCAAGCCACGAACAGCGAGGAGCUUGUUCCUCCCACUGCCAAAGAUCUCAAAAGUUUCGCCCUCCAGAUCUCUAGAGGGAUGGAACAUCUGUCUUCUUUAAAUAUAAUUCAUCGUGACCUUGCCGCUCGCAACGUCUUGCUGGACCGGAAGGGAGUGUGUAAAAUCUGUGACUUCGGGCUGUCCCGUAAUGUGGAAGGAGACGAGGUUUACGAAAGGUCAUCAAAGGGUCCCCAGCCGAUCAGGUGGAUGGCGCCGGAAUCUCUCUCCGACCAGUGCUUUACUAGGAAGAGUGACGUGUGGUCCUAUGGGGUUCUAAUGUGGGAGAUCAUCACGUUAGGUGCCACUCCAUAUCCCGGUAUGUCGGCCAGAGAGGUCAUUUCCACAGUGAUGAUGGGAAAAUGGCUGUCUCGUCCUCUUCAUUGCAAACCAGAAUUAUAUGCCCUAAUGGUACGAUGUUGGGACAUGUUACCGCCGAAUCGUCCGUCCUUUAGUGAAAUCAGCAAAGAUGUGGAGAAACUUUUAGAGAAAGAGUCAGACUAUAUUGAACUCCAGGAAUAUGAGGAGGCCAAAUUCAGUGUCCUUGACCCUGACCUUGUAGAUGAACGUGUGUAAUUACAUGUAUCCAAUGGGAAUGAAAGGAUAACUGACCAAUUCCAAAUUCCAACAAUCGACGAGAAAAAAAUAUACAUGUUUGUGAUAGUCAAACAACAAAUUUAGGGCAAUCUAAUUUGGUACAAGAAGUGUAUGAAUAUAAUGUCACACACUGAGUGUGGAACAAUUUUAUAUGUUGUGCUUUGGCGCUGGUGAAUGAAUACACUUACAUGUAUGAACAAACUACACAUUUAGAGGUUGUUUGUUCUGUCGACUCGCUCCGUUUGCUGGUUCUCUGUCGACCCUCAAUGUUACUGGUUCCUUGAGUUGGAUGGAUAUAAGGAAUAUGGUGUAUGACUGAUUAUUAAUCAGGAAAUGUAUCCACUGUAUAUCCAUAUUAUGAUAACCUCAAAGGUCAACCAAUGAAAAAACAGUAUAUGUAUGACGAUUGUACAGAUGUGGCAGACUGCUUGGUGUGUUUUAGCAUUAUGUCAAAAAAUGAAUGUCGAUCGUUGUUAUAAAUAUUUGUUUUAUUCGAAAUAUAACACUGGUUUUUAAGUCCCGUUUCAUAUAUAUCAGGGUGCAAUUUUUUGUUUUGUGUCAAUUGUGAGAAUGCUUCGAAGUGUGUUUAUUUGUACAGAUCAAAAAUGAAAGUUGUAAUAUAGUUCAGUAUUUUACGAGAGGGGCGCAAUCCAAACCAGAACUUAAUCACAAAAAAAAACUAAAUCUGUGAUAUGAACUCUUAAGUGUGUAUGCAUAAUUUUUCUUUUCAUAUUACAUGAAUAGUUGAAUAUAUGUAGAGUUUUAGAUGGGUAUGUGCCAUGUAGAUUAUUCAUAUGUCAAAUGUGCACUUAUUUUGGAAUCAUCUUUACUGAUUAAAAGUUUUUUACAUGUU
rnacentral:misc_RNA from 1 species